rnacentral:rRNA from 1 species
UGGGGAAUUUUGGACAAUGGGCGCAAGCCUGAUCCAGCCAUGCCGCGUGCGGGAAGAAGGCCUUCGGGUUGUAAACCGCUUUUGUCAGGGAAGAAAUCUUCUGAGUUAAUACCUCGGGAGGAUGACGGUACCUGAAGAAUAAGCACCGGCUAACUACGUGCCAGCAGCCGCGGUAAUACGUAGGGUGCAAGCGUUAAUCGGAAUUACUGGGCGUAAAGCGUGCGCAGGCGGUUUUGUAAGACAGAGGUGAAAUCCCCGGGCUCAACCUGGGAACUGCCUUUGUGACUGCAAGGCUUGAGUGCGGCAGAGGGGGAUGGAAUUCCGCGUGUAGCAGUGAAAUGCGUAGAUAUGCGGAGGAACACCGAUGGCGAAGGCAAUCCCCUGGGCCUGCACUGACGCUCAUGCACGAAAGCGUGGGGAGCAAACAGGAUUAGAUACCCUGGUAGUCCACGCCCUAAACGAUGUCAACUGGUUGUUGGGAAGGUUCCUUCUCAGUAACGUAGCUAACGCGUGAAGUUGACCGCCUGGGGAGUACGGCCGCAAGGUUGAAACUCAAAGG